GUAAAACCAAAGACAGGCAGCCCGGCGCCAGGCCUGAAACCAGGCCUGGGCCUGCCUGGCCUAAACCCAGUAGUUAAAAAUCAACUCAUAACUUAGAAACUGAUGUUAUUCAUAGAUUCCAGACAUUGUAUAGAAGAACAUUGUGAAACUCCCUGUCCUGUUCUGUUUCUCUCUGACCACCGGUACAUGCAGCCCCUGUCAUGUACCGCCUGCUUGCUCAAAUCAAUCACGACCCUUUCAUGUGAAAUCUUUAGUGUUAUGAGCCCUUAAAAGGGACAGAAAUUGUGCAUUCGGGGAGCUUGGAUUUUAAGGCAGUACCUUGCCAAUGCUCCCAGCUGAAUAAAGCCCUUCCUUCUACAACUAGGUGUCUGAGAGGUUUUGUCUGCGACUCGUCCUGCUACAUUUCUUGGUUCCCUGACCAGGAAGCGAGGUGACUGACGGACGGCCGAGGCAGCCCCUUAGGUGGCUUAAGCCUGCCCUGUGGAGCAUCCCUGAGGGGGACUCUGGCCAGCCUGAGUGAUGUGGUCCGAAGAGCGCUUGGGUAGGAAAUUGCCCCUGUGGAAUGCCUCGUCAGAGCAGCGCAUAGCAGGCCCCCACGGAGGAUUAACACAGUGGCUGAACACUGGGAAGGAACUGGCCCUUGGAGUCCAGACAUCUGAAACUUGCUCUCAAGAGUUUGGGGUUUUUGAGGUUUGCCAUGGUACAUCAAUAGAAUAUCAAAUGACAGGAUAAGACCUAGAAGACAAAUGUAAAAUUCCAAAAUGCAUGCUGUGGAUGAAUGUAGCAAUAUGAGAUGAGUACUAUUUGGGAUGCAGAAAGCAAUAUUUAACUGAUCAGCUGCCACUCACAUCAUGAAUCAGAAGCAGCCUUAAAAGAAAGGAUCCCUUCUUGCUAUUUUGAAGGGAAAUAACUGAGUCCUUUGGAGCUGAAAAUGAAAAACUGAGUAGCUGGUGGAAGAAGCGAGAUGGGUUUGGAACUCACAGGCUAUGUUUCUGGAUGCAUCACAUUUGCAAGAGGGAAGUUUUGGUGUCCCUGUGGGUAUAUUAGCACUCCUUUACUCCAUUUCUCUGUAGCUACUCAAGCAAGUGACAAGUAAGUAUGUUGAGACCACAUGUGACAUAUAAAUUACAAGUUCUCCUGCCCCUCUAAAAGUUUAUUCAGCAUCAACCUUUGCACCAACACACUAAGGCAUAAUAGCUGAUAAUUUAUGAGUGUAAUUUGAAGGAAGCAAUUCUGUUUUGUGAUUAUGGUAGUAAAUAAAAGAUUCAAAUCCUCAUUGACACACCAUGAAAUUCAGCUUUACUUUUUUUUUUUUAACCUUGAUAUUGUUUAUGGAAAGAAGGCUGCAGAGUCCAAGAAAGGUGACAGAUAUGAAGAAAUGCAGUGGUUGCAAAGGACAAAGACAAUGGCAACACAAAUAAAAGAAAUUAUGAGAAGGAAAUAAAUAUUAAAAAAAAAACCCAAACGUUUGUUGAUGUAAACUGAAAAUAAAUUUGGAAUGAGCUGUGUGCACUUGGAAAUGAGAAGAAGCUCUGUCCUGCACCAUGAAGGGCUUUGUGUGCAUCCAUGGGUUGCUUCUGCAUGCAGAAUGAGACUGGAACAAAAAAGAACCAUUUAAAACACAGGAUCCAGGUGAUUCAGGAUUUUAAAUUGAAGAUUGAUCAUACAAGCUGGAAGACGUCCCAUGACACUUUAUUUGAAAUUGGAACAUCAGAAUUUGGUUGGGUCUAUCUUUUACUAACUCUGUACCAUGAAAAAAUUAUUUAAUAUUUCUGAACUGUGUAAAGAAUAAAAUUAGAUUAUGAAUUCAAUCUGUUGCUGCAUAAUCAAUUACCUCCAAUCUUAGCAGCUUCAAACAACAAACAUAAAUAAACUUAGUUUCUGCAGCUCAGGAAUUCAGGAGUUUAGCUAGAUGGUUCUGGCUUGGAGUCUUCCAUGAGGUUGCCAUCUAGAGGUCAGCCAAGGCUGCAGUCAUUUGAAGGUUUGACUGGGGCUUGAGAAUUCACUCUCAUGGCUAGUCACAUGUUCACUUCUGUGUUGGCUGUUGGCAGGAAUUUUCAGAACCUUGCCAUGUGGGUCUCUCCAUAUGGCUGCUUAAGCAUCCUCAUGACACGUCAGCUGGUCUCCCCAGUGGGAGUGAUCGAAGAGACAGAAGCAAGAAUGUCUUCAAUGACCUACCCUUUUUCUUUUUGUUUUUGAGAUGGAGUCUGUUGCCCAGGCUGGAAUGCAGCAGCGCGAUCUCUGCUCACAGCAACCUCUGCCUCCUGUGUUCAAGCUAUUCUCCAGCCUCAGCCUCCUGAGUAGCUGAGAUUACAGGCGUGAGCCACAGCGCCCACCCUAGCCAUUCAACUCUGAAGCACAUCUGGGUUGAUACCAGUUUUGGGCUGUUACAAUAAAACUUCUAUGAACAUUCACGCACAAAUUUUUGUGGGAACAUACGUUUUCAUUUCUCUAGGAUAGAUGUACAGGAAUAAAAUUCUGGGUCAUAUGGUAGUUGCAUGUUUAAAUAUUUAAGAAACUGCUAAACUGCUUUCCAGAGUGUCUGUACCAUUUCACAGUCCUAAAAGCGAUGUAUGAAUGAUCCAGUUUCACCAUUUCCUCAUCAGCAUUUGGUGUUGUAAUUCUCAUUUUAAUAAUGCUUAUAGAUGUGUGGUGAUAUCUCAUUAUGGUGUUCAUUUGUAUUUCUCUAAUGACCAAUAAAUAUUUAACAUAUUUCCAUGUGCCUGCUUUUUUGCCAUUUUAUAUCCUCUUUGGUCUAUAAUGCCUUUUGUCCAUUUUCUAAUUAAAUAUUUAUGUAUUGUUGAGUUUUCAGAGUUCUUUAUAUAUUCUAGAUAUUAUUCCUUUGUCAGCUAUGUGGUUUUAAAAUAUUUAUUUCUAUCUUGUAGCUUGUAAUUUCAUUUUCCUCACGUGGACUUUCACAAAGCAAGUGUUUUUAUUUUUGAUAAAAUCAGAUUUGUCAAGUUUUCCUUCUGUGGAUCAUGAUUUUGUUGUCAAGUCCAAUAACUGUCUGCCUAGCUCCAGAUCCCAAAGUUUGCUCCUGUG
rnacentral:lncRNA from 10 species